rnacentral:lncRNA from 1 species
CGAGUAUUGGGUUGACAGCCAAUCCUAUUGUCAACUUUUCUGGUGUUGUUGGGUCAAAUCUUCUUGCCCUUGGUACCGAUCUUUCAUUUGAUACCAAAACUGGAAACUUCACAAAAGUCAAUACUGGACUGAGCUUUGCCAACGCUGACCUAAUUGCAUCUCUGACCUUGUGAGUUUUUUAUUUAGUCAGACUCUUCAUUUACGCCUAUAGUGUGCUCCUUUUCCUUUUUGGUACUUAUUAAGGCGAAUAAUUAAUGUUCAGGAAUGACAAGGGUGAUACGUUGAGUGCAUCCUACUACCAUACAGUGAACCCUUUGACAAGCACCGCUGUUGGUGCGGAGGUUGCUCAUAGCUUUUCCUCCAACGAGAACACCAUCACGGUUGGCACCCAACAUGCACUUGAUCCACUGACCUCAGUGAAGGCUCGGGUGAACAAUUUUGGAAAGGCAAGUGCUCUUAUCCAGCAUGAGUGGCGUCCAAAAUCAUUCUUCACUGUAUCUGGUGAGGUAGACACGAAAGCAAUUGAGAAGAGCGCAAAAGUUGGGCUAGCUUUGGCCUUGAAGCCAUGAUAGGAAAUUU